AAUAGAUACCCGGGUAGUCCACGCCGUAAACGAUGAGUGCUAAGUGUUAGAGGGUUUCCGCCCUUUAGUGCUGCAGCUAACGCAUUAAGCACUCCGCCUGGGGAGUACGGCCGCAAGGCUGAAACUCAAAGGAAUUGACGGGGGCCCGCACAAGCGGUGGAGCAUGUGGUUUAAUUCGAAGCAACGCGAAGAACCUUACCAGGUCUUGACAUCCUCUGACAACCCUAGAGAUAGGGCUUUCCCCUUCGGGGGACAGAGUGACAGGUGGUGCAUGGUUGUCGUCAGCUCGUGUCGUGAGAUGUUGGGUUAAGUCCCGCAACGAGCGCAACCCUUGAUCUUAGUUGCCAGCAUUCAGUUGGGCACUCUAAGGCGACUGCCGGUGACAAACCGGAGGAAGGUGGGGAUGACGUCAAAUCAUCAUGCCCCUUAUGACCUGGGCUACACACGUGCUACAAUGGAUGGUACAAAGGGCUGCAAACCUGCGAAGGUAAGCGAAUCCCAUAAAGCCAUUCUCAGUUCGGAUUGCAGG
rnacentral:rRNA from 1 species